UCUCAUAACCAGGUGGGCAUUUCCAUGUCGUGUUGGAGAUUGAUCUGCUUGCCAACAAGGGCUACCAUGGCGAUCUAUACACUGCCUUUUAGGAGCUCGUCGAUAUCGACAUUGCAAGGUGUUGAGCAAAGAAUUGGAGGCCCCACAUACUUCUGAGUACAAGCGAACUGGGAGUAACGUUCAAAUGCAAAGUUACGUUCUUGUAAAUUAUCCCCCUUCGUUGACAUUCCUAGCAUUUGUUGUUUUCUGUUUUGAGGUAUUAGUAGGAUACAUCAAAUCUCCAGUUUUAGAGGCAUACUCACCAACCCUGCCCCAAGUACUGUUACUGGCUUCAAUGGUGCAGGUGUUGGACGGACGGGCCAACUAGUACAUGGAGCAGCAGGCUGGCGUGGUGACCUCUCAUUGGAGUUGGAGCUGUGCAGGAGGGAAUGAGGGAGCCAGGGCCGCUGGACCCACGGAGGGAACAUAACAUGAUUUUAUUUGUUAAUUUCUUCAAGUGAUGUUGUAGCUGGUUAGGUGUUGCAUCUUCAACUGGUAUCUUCACUAUUUUAUCUCAGCUGAUUUAGAAUUUGAAGUGGAUCUAGUUGAA